rnacentral:rRNA from 1 species
CCUACGGGUGGCUGCAGUGGGGAAUCUUGGACAAUGGACGAAAGUCUGAUCCAGCAAUUCCGCGUGGGUGAAGAAGGCCUUCGGGUUGUAAAGCCCUUUGCGAGAAUACUCAGUACCGGAAGAAUCAGCACCGGCUAACUACGUGCCAGCAGCCGCGGUAAUACGUAGGGUGCAAGCGUUAAUCGGAAUUACUGGGCGUAAAGCGUGCGCAGGUGGCUUGUUAAGACAGUCGUGAAAUCCCCGGGCUCAACCUGGGAACUGCGAUUGUGACUGGCUCGCUAGAGUAUGGGAGAGGGGGGUGGAAUUCCGCGUGUAGCAGUGAAAUGCGUAGAGAUGCGGAGGAACACCGAUGGCGAAGGCAACCCCCUGGCCUAAACUGACACUCAUGCACGAAAGCGUGGGGAGCAAACAGGAUUAGAUACCCUGGUAGUC